rnacentral:ncRNA from 1 species
GAAAAUACAAAGAAAGAGACAGACAGAUUUUAAGACUUAUAGAGAGACUGUGGAUGGUGGAAACAGUUAGACACUGAAAUUUGUGAAUCACUCUAGAGUAGCCUUCUGAAUAGUUAGGAAGUGCCGUAGCUCGCGUUAAGAGAUAAAGGCUAUAUCAUGGAUAUAGUAAAUAAAGGUGGUACCGCGUUUAAGACGUCCUUUAG